rnacentral:rRNA from 1 species
GGGUGAGUAAUAUAUCGGAACGUGCCCAGUCGUGGGGGAUAACGCAGCGAAAGCUGUGCUAAUACCGCAUACGAUCUCUGGAUGAAAGCGGGGGACUCGCAAGAGCCUCGCGCGAUUGGAGCGGCCGAUAUCAGAUUAGCUAGUUGGCGGGGUAAAAGCCCACCAAGGCGACGAUCUGUAGCUGGUCUGAGAGGACGACCAGCCACACUGGAACUGAGACACGGUCCAGACUCCUACGGGAGGCAGCAGUGGGGAAUUUUGGACAAUGGGCGCAAGCCUGAUCCAGCAAUGCCGCGUGCAGGAUGAAGGCCUUCGGGUUGUAAACUGCUUUUGUACGGAACGAAACGGUUCUCUUUAAUAAAGGGGGCUAAUGACGGUACCGUAAGAAUAAGCACCGGCUAACUACGUGCCAGCAGCCGCGGUAAUACGUAGGGUGCGAGCGUUAAUCGGAAUUACUGGGCGUAAAGCGUGCGCAGGCGGUGAUGUAAGACAGAUGUGAAAUCCCCGGGCUCAACCUGGGACCUGCAUUUGUGACUGUAUAGCUAGAGUACGGUAGAGGGGGAUGGAAUUCCGCGUGUAGCAGUGAAAUGCGUAGAUAUGCGGAGGAACACCGAUGGCGAAGGCAAUCCCCUGGACCUGUACUGACGCUC